rnacentral:lncRNA from 1 species
AUGAGGAAAGCCAGUGGACUUGUACUCCCAUUAAUAAAGAAAAAACCAAAGGCAAAUAGUUCAUGCGGAGUUAGCCCUUGACUCUCCUAACGUCGAGCUAAGUUACUUCGUAACCUUUUCGUAGCGUAGUAGAAUGAAGGCUACGCACCGACGCUCUCUUUUCUAUUAGCCUAAGCGUCUUCGCUAACUCGCUCGCCUACUAUACAAUACAUUAAGUAGGGUAGCCUAACUCAUACAACGCAAAGGAGGGAGGCGGGCUAAAUACAGCCCACCUAACAGCAGCUAGAAAGGCUAUAGGCGCGAAAGAAAAGCGAGCAGGAAAUUCGGCAUCAUAUGGAACCGCGGAGCCAGCCUCAAGGAAGAGCUUUGAUCCUUGCCUUGAAC